GAAUAUUGGACAAUGGGGGGAACCCUGAUCCAGCCAUGCCGCGUGUGUGAAGAAGGCCUUUUGGUUGUAAAGCACUUUAAGCGAGGAGGAGGAUACUUAGAUUAAUACUCUAGGCUCGUGGACGUUACUCGCAGAAUAAGCACCGGCCAACUCUGUGCCAGGAGCCGCGGUAAUACAGAGGGUGCAAGCGUUAAUCGGAUUUACUGGGCGUAAAGCGCGCGUAGGUGGCCAAUUAAGUCAAAUGUGAAAUCCCCGAGCUUAACUUGGGAAUUGCAUUCGAUACUGGUUGGCUAGAGUAUGGGAGAGGAUGGUAGAAUUCCAGGUGUAGCGGUGAAAUGCGUAGAGAUCUGGAGGAAUACCGAUGGCGAAGGCAGCCAUCUGGCCUAAUACUGACACUGAGGUGCGAAAGCAUGGGGAGCAAACAGG
rnacentral:rRNA from 1 species